AUGCUUUUUGGCACAUUUUGUGCUCUCACAUUCUGGAACUUCUGUAGAAGCAGUUGCGUGCAUAGUCAACUGUAGAGACAUUUUGAUAUAGGCAUGACAUUGUCAACAAAUUUGUUAUAGCAAGAAGAUCCAAGGAUUCUAUUGUUUGUUGUACAGCACAGGCUGGUAUGCGCUCAGCCUUGCCAGUCCCAGUGAACUGUUUUGGCUACCACAGGGAGCAUCUCACCUGUUGCACGGGGCCACAUGCCAUUCGGCAACACAGCAGAACCCCCAUUCCACCGAUAUUUAAAAUAUUUUGAAACACUUCUCUAGAAUUUAUUCUGUUGCACAUCUUUGUUAUAAAAGGUUUGGACAACUGGGUGGUAGAUUGCAUUUUCUUAUUGUAUUCUCUCUGACAAACUACUUUGAGACUGCAAUAAGAAUGCCAUUUAUUGAACUA